CGAACGAGUUUAUUGCUCGUGGCGUACGGCUCAGUAACACGUGGAUAACCUACCCUUAGGACUGGGAUAACCCUGGGAAACUGGGGAUAAUACUAGAUAGGCAAUUUUUCCUGGAAUGGUUUUUUGUUUAAAUGUUUUUUCGCCUAAGGAUAGGUCUGCGGCCGAUUAGGUAGUUGGUUAGGUGACGGCUUACCAAGCCAUUGAUCGGUACGGGUUGUGAGAGCAAGAGCCCGGAGAUGGAACCUGAGACAAGGCUCCAGGCCCUACGGGGUGCAGCAGGCGCGAAACCUCCGCAAUGUGAGAAAAUCGCGACGGGGGGAUCCCCAAGUGCCAUUCUUAACGGGAUGGCUUUUCAUAAGUGUAAA
rnacentral:rRNA from 1 species